GGGGACUGUGGUGCGCAGCUCAGACUCCAAGCCCAAGCGGCCACAACCCAGCAGGGAAAUUGGCAACAUCAUCCGCAUGUACCAGAGCCGCCCGGGCCCCGUGCCUGUGCCCGUGCAGCCAUCCAGGUGGGCCCCCACGGGGAGGUGGCCAGGGCUGUCCCGCUCCUCGGGGAAUCACCCUAUGAACUUAGUGACCUCUUGCUUCUCCCACGAGGCCUCCCAAAGCUUUCCUGAGGAAAAUCGACCCCAAGGACGAGGCUCUGGCCAAGCUGGGUAUCAACGGUGCCCACUCGUCCCCGCCGAUGCUGUCCCCCAGCCCAGGAAAGGGCCCCCCGCCAGCUGUGGCUCCUCGACCCAAGGCCCCGCUACAGCUUGGGCCCUCUAGCUCCAUCAAGGAAAAGCAGGGGCCCCUUCUGGACCUGUUUGGCCAGAAGCUGCCUAUUGCCCACACACCCCCACCUCCACCAGCGCCACCACUGCCUCUGCCCGAGGACCCAGGGACCCUUUCAGCAGAGCGUCGUUGCUUGACACAGCCCGUGGAGGACCAGGGGGUCUCCACCCAGCUACUCGCGCCCUCUGGCAGCGUGUGCUUCUCCUACACCGGCACGCCCUGGAAGUUGUUCCUACG
rnacentral:lncRNA from 1 species